GAUGAACGCUGGCGGCGUGCCUAAUACAUGCAAGUCGAGCGAACAGACGAGGAGCUUGCUCCUCUGACGUUAGCGGCGGACGGGUGAGUAACACGUGGAUAACCUACCUAUAAGACUGGGAUAACUUCGGGAAACCGGAGCUAAUACCGGAUAACAUGUUGAACCGCAUGGUUCAACAGUGAAAGACGGUCUUGCUGUCACUUAUAGAUGGAUCCGCGCCGCAUUAGCUAGUUGGUAAGGUAACGGCUUACCAAGGCAACGAUGCGUAGCCGACCUGAGAGGGUGAUCGGGCACACUGGAACUGAGACACGGUCCAGACUCCUACGGGAGGCAGCAGUAGGGAAUCUUCCGCAAUGGGCGAAAGCCUGACGGAGCAACGCCGCGUGAGUGAAGAAGGUCUUCGGAUCGUAAAACUCUGUUAUUAGGGAAGAACAAAUGUGUAAGUAACUAUGCACGUCUUGACGGUACCUAAUCAGAAAGCCACGGCUAACUACGUG
rnacentral:rRNA from 1 species